AAGUCGUAACAAGGUUUCCGUAGGUGAACCUGCGGAAGGAUCAUGUAAACGUUUUUCAAACUUAAACAAGGGAGAAGCGCGCGGCCGGGUCACGGGGGGAAACUUCUGUGGUUUGUCUGCAGUCUUCUUUCUUUUUAAACCCAUCGCGAACUGGAUUUCGUAGCACUUGGCAACAUCCCAAUCGCAGAACGACGGCGUGCCGCUUUUUUUUCGAGCGCCACGACGGACGUCUCGGCGACUGUGUGUGUGCGUCCUUUUGCGACCUUUUCUCAUUUUUUUCACCCCUUUUUGAAAACAUUCAAAACUUUUACAACGAAUCUGUUUUUCUUGUUCACUCGCGCUCGUCGCAAGACAAGAAAAACAGUGAUCGCUUCUUUUAAUGCAAAAGAGAACAACUCUUAGCAACGGAUAUCUUGGUUCCC
rnacentral:misc_RNA from 1 species